ensembl:lncRNA
CAAUGCACUUAAGCGACUGGAAGGGUUAGAGCCAGGAUCCACUCCUUCUCAGACCUCAUUUAAAGGCUGACAGUGGAGGUGAGGGUUGUGGUUGCUGGAGAUCCCUGUCUACCUGAGGCCUUCUGAAGGGCACCUCACUCUCAAGAAAGCUGGACCAGCCUAAGACUGGAGCAAGUUCAUCAGCCCACAUCCAGCUAAUCUGGGACAACAAACAGACAAUAUGCUUGGUCAGAAACCAUCUUCUAAUAAUUCACAUGACGAUAUAGAUUUGCUUUAUUGCUUUUGGCCUUUCAGUGAAGUAUAAUGGAUCGAUACGAAGAAAUUGUGGCCUUAGGAAAAAUACUGUUUUCUUUCCACCUGUAGCUGUGAAAAUAAAACUCCUCAUGUGGAUAACCACCAGGUUUUGGAAGCGCAAAUACUCAUCUGCCACGUGUCAGAUGAGUCAGCCUGGAACACGAGCUGCGGGGAAAGAAUUCAGAUGCUUUGUAUAUACAGUGGCAACUUCUGAAGACUUAAGUCACUUGUAGAUGGUAGGAAUCCAAAGUGGAAACAUCCUGGUUUCACCAGAGGCACCAAAGUGCUCCUUACAAAGUGAUGCUUGUGCAAUGCUGGGGAAGUCUGGGAAUUCCCCAUAGUUCCACAGCUCUGGAGAAAGCCAGGCUAGCAGCCAGUAGUAUCUUCCACCAAUGUUUUGAAGUAAUUUUGCCAGUUGCCAUGCUUCCCUUUACGCACGAUGGAGGAGAACGCUCAGCAACCCACCCUGACUCAAAAGGACACUUUGGAAACAUCUGCUUUAAGGGAUGGCUUUGUUGCCUGCACGCAGGCAGCUUGCACCACUCAGUGUUGGCAGGUUUCAGACAAGAUGUGAAAGACGUGUGCCUUCCUUGAGCUGCAUUUGGAGGUGACAACUCUUACAGCAUCUGGAAUGCAGCUAGUAGCUUGCACAUAGGCAAGUUGAUGAAGUUAUGAAUUAAUCCUGCAUAUUAAGAUGAGGUGAAAUAAAGAGUUUAGGAAGCGUAAAACUAAGGUGCUUGAUUUUUUUACGGGAUAGAAAAGUAAACACUCCAAAAGAAAAACAACAGCUGAAGAGGGUAGAGACUCUCCUAACGUAUGAAUGUCAGUGCUGAACUCCAAGUCCCAGUGGUUUUUAAAAAUAGACUAUCCAAACACCUGUGAGGCCUCUUGUGUGCAGAUGGUCCUUCCUCCAGGAGGAGGCAAAGCCAGGUGACCUCUUACAGACCUUACCAGGCAUAUUUUUGUGAUUCCUACCACCAGCCUGUGGCCCUAUGAUGAGAUAUAGGAAAGCCAAUAUGGUGUCACAGGACAGAGUUCCUGUGUUUCUUGGAGCUGCUUUGUUAAACUGGAGCAACAAUGACAUCAGAAAUGAAACAAAACCUAUGCUAAAAGGGGAUUGGCAAGAUUGCAGAGUCAACCACCCAAACAAAAGGAAAUGCCAAAUUUCAGACUGCCUUUCUCUUUCCUAGGCUAAACUACCUCCUCUUCUCCUUGGUCAUGAUGGACCACAUUUUAUUCAUAGAAUCAUAGAACAGCCUGGGUUGAAAAGGACCACAAUGAUC